rnacentral:rRNA from 1 species
UAGUCCUAGCCGUAAACGAUGGGCACUAGGCAAUGGGUUUACCUAUGAGACUCAUUGCCGUAGCUAAUGUGUUAAGUGCCCCGCCUGGGGAGUACGCUCGCAAGGGUAAAACUCAAAGGAAUUGACGGGGGAUCACACAAGCGGUGGAGCAUGUUGUUUAAUUCGAAGCAACGCGCAGAACCUUACCUGGAUUUGACAUCUCGGGAAUCUCUCUGAAAGGAGAGAGUGCCUUCGGGAACCCGAUGACAGGUGCUGCAUGGUUGUCGUCAGCUCGUGCCGUGAGGUGUCAGGUUAAGUCCUAUAACGAGCGCAACCCCUGUUGUUAGUUGCCAGCGAGUCAAGUCGGGAACUCUAACAAGACUGCCAGUGCAAACUGUGAGGAAGGUGGGGGAUGACGUCAAAUCAUCACGGCCCUUACGUCCUGGGGCUACACACGUGCUACAAUGGUAGGUACAGAGAGCAGCCACAACGCGAGUUGGGAGCGAAUC